GCAUCCCACUCCAAUAUUCUUGCCUGGAGAACCCCAUGGUCAGAGGAGCCUGGCAGGCUACGGUCCAUAGUGUUGCAAAGAGUGGGACACAACUGAAGCGACUUAGCACACGUGCACAUAAUCCUAAGAGCCCUCAGAGGUGGUAUGCAUGAUUCCCUUCAUUUUGUAGGUGAGGACGGUUCAGUAACUUCUCCACAGUCGAAGAUCAAGUGAGUGAUGGAACCUGGGACUUGGCUUCAGAUUUGUCUGACUCCAGAGUCUGGGCUUUUCCUUUUAAUGGAGGCUUGUUGGGAUUGGUGUGACCAGUCCUAUUGGCCAAGGAAAACUGAAGCAUUUUGUAAAAUGAGGGAGGCACUAAGGCACUUCUUAGAGAGUAAAUAGAGCCUCUCAGAGGGAAUGACCCUAAGGGAGUUGGAAAGUAGGUGUGGGUCAAGAGACAGCGGAGAGGGUGGUUGGUCUUGAUUAAGCCUAACUUAUCUCUUGACCACCAAUAGGGAAAUGGGGGUGGGGAGGGACAAGUUAGUAAGAGGAAAUGGUCCAAGAGCCAAGCUCUCCAGGAUUUUCUCCCAUUUCUCCCCUCAGCAGCCCCCUCUGGACAGAGGCUCAGCUCUGGCUUUGUCAUCCCAUUCUGGGUGCAGAAAAAGGACUUGAUGUAGGAAGGCAGGCUGGCCAUCCAGAGCAGGUUUGCCUCAUGGAAAGGACAUGUGGCUGAGAACAAGGAAGGCCCAGCCAGGAGUGAGGAGAUCUGUGUUCCAGUGCAGCUCACGAUGAAGGGAACCAUCAUGCAUGUCCAGGACCAAGUGGAACACCUGUGGGCUGCGGAUCCCCAGGACGCUCUGGCAGAGGCAGGAUGAGGGCACCUCAGUAGAUGGCCCAGGAAGAUGCCCCAUCUACGCUGUCUUCCAUUCUAGCGCCCUCGUGAUGACCCUGUGCCUGGACAGGAGAUGUGGCUUCCCAACUGCUUCCUUACCUUUGAGGGCCUGCCUCUGUACUGGGUUCCGGUACAAUUUUUUUCACCAGAAGAGUCAAGAUAGUUUCUGUCACUUCUGAGCAAUGCCCCUCACACCCUUCACCUGUCCCUUCUCCUACCCAGCUCCAGUCCUGCAGAAAAACUUUCCCUGAACUCCUGGUAGGGCGGGAAGUCUAAAAUAAAGCUGGCAAACCACCUCCGCACACUUUGCAGCCCUUUUUUCCCCUCAGUAGCUCUCCUGGACUGCCCACUCCGCCAGCCAUCAACACAUCUGGUCAGAGUCGUGGAGCUGGCCUUACCAGAGAGAUGACUGCUUCCUGGCGUUCCAUGGCAUUUGAGCUCAUCAGCUGCCUGAAGAGAAGGGACCUAGGAUUUGGCCCUGGCAGUUCCCAGCCCGAGCCACUCACGCCUCCACCAAGUUCAACAUCGUGGACUUCAUCUUGAGCUCUUCCACAGUUUCAGCAACAGCCUGCCUUAUGGCCUGAAGAGAGGUUAAGGUGGGACAAGGACUCAGGGAUGUGCUCUUAAGUGCUUCCCCAAUUUUUUUUUUUUUGAUGUGGACCUUUUGAAUUUGUUACAGUAUUGUUUCUAUUUCAUGUGGGAUCCUAGCUCCCUGGCCAGGGAUUGAACCCACAACUCCUGCCCUGGAAGGUGAAGUCUUAACCACUGGACCGUCAACCUUCAUUGAGUCUUUACUUUGUGCUGUGUGUAUGGUCCUUGCCUCAGGGAGUUCAUGGUCUGGUGGGGGAAGCAGACAAGUGAACAGGCAGUCAGACUCCUGAACUAAAUGUAAGGACAAUAGGAGGGUCUCCUAGCUCAGUCUGGGUACCAGGAAGACUUCCUGGAGGAAGUGAUGCUGCAGCUGAAACCUGAAGCAUGGGUAGGAGUUAACUAGGCUGAGAGGCUGGGGGCCAACUUCCCUGGGCAGAGGGAGAGCAGGUACAAAAGCCUGGAGGCAGGAGAGAGCACAGAGAGAUUAGGGAACAGAAAAUAGUUCAGUUUAGCUAGGUGACCGUACAGAGUCUUCAGAGUGGGACACUCUGAGUAAUUACACUGGGAUCACAGGUAUAAGUCAGGACAGGGUGCUCCUAAGCACUGCUGGUGUGUGGCUGGGCACGAGUGUGGUGAGGCUGGAGAGUCAGGCGGGCCUUGGGUGGUGAAGGGCUAUGUAAGCCCUCCUGAGAGCUUGGGGAGUAACUGAGAAGUUCUUUGCAGUGGUGAGCCGCAAUCUGAUUCACAGCUUAGAAAAAUGUCUUUAGCAAUUCUGUGGCUGGCUUUGUAGCAAGCUCUAAGGAAGGUAAAAGCCAGGGAGGCAGGGUGAUUCUGUUGGUGGUGAUGGGAAGGCUUCCCGUAGGAGGUGUUGUCUGGGCUGGUCUGGAAGGGGCGGUCGUAUUCUAAUAGGCAGUAGGAGAGAGGAGCUACUCACUAGUGGAACUGAAAGCAGAGGCAGUUUCCCACCUUUCAGAGGAGGGAGGAAUGGCAGGGCAUUCUCAGCUGAGCAAACUGCCCGCACAAAGGCCAGAUGGCUUGGAGACAGGAGCUGUGUUCUGGUGAAUGUGAUGCAUUCCUGGGGGCAUGCAUACACAGAAGAACUAUACGAGAAGGAUCUUAAUGAUCCAGAUAACCAUGAUGGUGUGAUCUGGAGCCAGAGAUAUAUCAAUAACCUCAGAUAUGCAGAUGACACCCAUGACAGAAAGCAAAGAG